rnacentral:lncRNA from 10 species
CACCCACUGACCUGAGCCACUGAUCAUUGCAUGAUGACGUGAACUCAACAUAAAAUGUGGGGAGUGGGAGUUUCUUCUGAGAACAGUUCCUGUGAUGUCUGGCAAUAGGAGCGUUGACUGGAACAUGUGGAUAUACCUUUUCCACCAUGAAACAUUUGAAAAACUCCAAAGUUUGGACUCAGGCAAGUGCAAGUCCAAAAUGUGUGUUACAGUCCACUCUGGUUUUGGAGGUAGUUGUGGAGUGCCCCACAGACCUCUAGGGAGUAAAACAUACUGGAUUUUACUCCAGUGGACCACUUGGAGCUCCUGAGCCAGCUGAGAAGCCUGUUCAUCCCCAGCAGAGGCAAAGCCAGUUUGGGAGGCCUCAGGAUUGUCAUUUCUCCUGUUCACAGCAUGGCUCUGGGCAGCGCCACUCAGUGCCAUCAAGGAACCAUGCACCUGAAGUUUGGAACCCAGCUGAGUAUGCAAUACAGAGGAGGAGAAGACUGCAGUGGGGUUUUGUAAGGUGCUCCCAGCACAGCGUGCAUCCGUUCCUUAACUCUGUAAAGCAAAUGUGGAAACCACUCACAGUUUUCUAGCUUCCUUACCCUUUAUUCAACUCCCCUAAGUGCUGAGGCCUAAUUGCUGACCCAUCUGGCCUCUGGCCUGAUUUCCAGUGGAUAUCUGGCCAGUGGUGGCUAGGUCCAGCAUUUCCUCCUUCACGAUAGCCAAAUCAUCCAGGGCAAUCUCUUGGCAGCAAAGGAGGCUAGAGAAGUUGCUUUUUCAGCAGGUCAAAUCAAAAGCAUACGGGGAGAGGAAGUUCAGGGCUAAGAGGCUUGCUGAUUCUCCAUGACUUAUUUUCCUCUGGGAGGCUGGAUCCCAUCCAGAACUGCACACCUCCCAGAAACUAUGCUUUCUGACUUUGUGUCUCUGUAAAUGACUCUUUCCUGAUUGAAUUGAUAACCAACUUACGAGUCUAAAAUCACAGUAUGAAAUAAACUGAAAAAAUCUACAGACAAU